rnacentral:rRNA from 1 species
GCGUGAGAAUCUACCUAGGUGAUGGGGAUAGCCCGGGAGAAAUCCGGAUUAAUACCGAAUACGCUCUACGGAGGAAAGGGGCCCUCUUCUUGAAAGGUCUCGCACUUAGAUGAGCUCGCGUAAGAUUAGCUAGUUGGUGUGGUAAUGGCGCACCAAGGCGACGAUUCUUUAGCUGGUCUGAGAGGAUGAUCAGCCACACUGGGACUGAGACACGGCCCAGACUCCUACGGGAGCAGCAGUGGGGAAUAUUGGACAAUGGGCGGAAGCCUGAUCCAGCAAUACCGCGUGUGUGAAGAAGGC